GUCCGCUCAGCCAUCUCUCC
rnacentral:tRNA from 2 species